AGCCGCCCUCCGGUCCUCCUGGAUUACAAGCCCCAGAAAGCCCCGCAUCCCCUCCUGCGCACCCUGGGGAUCAAGGACGGUGACCACAGAGCAUAUUCAAAGAGCUGCUGCAGUUCAUCAUGGCGGUAACAAGGAAGGUCAUCAGAAAAGAGAGCUCACGGGGCUCUGCCUUCAAAGAUGCUGAUGCUACUGAGGAGACUUUUCUAGACCUGCUGGGACCAUAGUCUCUCCGACCACCUAGUGGACAUCUGUGGGAACCUGCAUGAUGGAGCAUGGGAGGGGCUGUUGCUCCCCUUGAAGGCUACUCUGGCUUUCUCACCUAACCGGCUGACCCUGCAGCAAGACGUGUAUGAUGGCAAGGGGCUGCUCUGCACCGGCCCGGGGUUGUUGAUCCUCCCGGCGCCCUCUGCAGAGGAGAAACACCACACCAAAGACGACGGGUCGCCGCCAUGUUCGGUGCGCGCCCAGGUCACUGAGGGAUAAGCACGGGAAGAGCUGCCGAGGGUCUUCUGAUACCCGCUGCACUCACGUGGUGUCCCCUCGGAAAGGAUUUUCCGGUGCCAGGCUAGAGAUCUGCCUGGGCUGAAGACUUUCUCACAUUUGUGACACUUAAAGGGCUUCUGUCCAGCGUGAACCCUCCGAGGGGGAAGGAGGGCCGCAGGCUUGCGGACCGUCUUCCAGCUCAGGCAGCGCAUGCAGGGCCCGGCGCCCGCAUGGACGCACCGGCGCUGCAUGAGGUGUGUGCCACAGCUGAAGGCUUUGCUAGCUCAUCAGGAAGCCGGGAAGAGAGGGCUCACCAGAACCAGCCCUUUGGGCACCCUCAUCUUGCACUUCCAGUCUCCAAAACUGUGAGGGAUAAAUUUGUUGAUUAAGCCACACGUUUCACAGUAUUUUGCUCUAGGAACCUAAGCAGAUUAAGACGCAGUGAUGCCUCAUCCCUUCCCAAAGCACUCAGGUUUGUGGUCUUAGAGUGACAGCUGGAUGGCCCCUGUCAGCCCCCAACAAAGCCAUCUGUCACACCUGUGUGGUCUACAUCCACUUUAGGGCUGGGCAGCAGAGGCUUGGAGGAUGUGAUGGCAUCCAAGACCAGCCACAUGUGCUCUGGGACCAGUAAGUGUCCCCAGCCUGGACUUUUUGCCCCACGGCAGCACCCUGAGACCAUAGAAACAAUCCCUCUGCCUUUGUGUGGCUGUCUCCCUGGGGAACCCAUGAAUAAAGGGCCUGUCAGCAGACACCACCAAUUUCAGAGGAACUACUCACCAUCAAUACUCAAAGCCCCGAACCACCUUUCUAAAUGCUGUUCAGUGCCCCCAUUCACUCAUUUACCCAUUAACAUCUUCCAGGUGUCAGCAUACGCUAGUUCCUGCUCUGUCCUUUUCCUGGAAGUUGGCUGGUAAACAGGGUGACCAUAAAGAGCCUGUGUCCCAGAUCGGUCCAGGCAUGGAUUUCCUGCAAGGUGCCCUAGACUGACAGGCUCACUCAGCCCCAUCCUGGAGUGAAGGGAGAAGGAGAGGAAGAGGAGGAAGAGAGCCCUGGUCACUGAUGAAGGGGCCCUGCCCCAGGACUCAUGCUCCUUGGGAGCUGUGGCUCCAUUCCAGUGGCGAGUGGUCGAGCACCAGAGAAACAAGAAUAGAAAGGAGGAUGCCUGCUGAGACGAGUGACAUUUCUGGAAACUCACGUGGAAGGCAUCUGCUGGCAAUGCAGUAUCUUGGGCCUUGGGCUUGUCUUCCUUGAUGCUCCCCUGAGAAGGAAGAGCUGGGGGAGGGGAGCGGAUGUGAGGGAGGCCAGAUCUGCCCUCAGGCCCCAGAGACCCAAGCCCCAAAGUCCCCUCACCUCAUAUCCCUCCCCUUGCCAGCCCCUAGACUCUUUCCCAGGGGCUCUGGCCCUCCUGGUCCAGACCCUCCCACAGGUGUUUCCUUUUGCACUGCUCGCCCUGGGUCUGUUCCCUCCAGCUUAUCCUCCAGAACUUGGCUGAACCAUAGCCCUCAACAUUAACUACAUACCAGUAGUUAAUGGCAUUAUGAUGUGGGCACCUUUCAUAGGCUUGCUUGAUUCUCAUUCUGUCCCUAUGAGGGAUAGUUAGAACCGACACUACCUGACCCAUUUUAUAGGAAGGAAACUGAGGCAUCGAGGGGUAAGAUGUUUGCUGCAGUUGAACUUUUCCAUGGAGGCACCCCCACUCUUGUCCCCAUCCAUGACCAGCCAAGAUAGUGAGUCCUGUGUCCACAUAGACAGAUGGGGUGACCCACACACCCCAGAAUUAGUCUGGGGAUGUGACAGCCUACCUGGACUCUUGUAAAGGGAUCUACAUAGCCACCAUGGGUCCACAGUGACCUAGAAGAUGAUAAAUACUUGGAGUACGAAGCCCUGGACCCACAGCUCCACUGUGAGCCACUAACAGGCCAUAUCCCUGCUCUGGGCCAAUUUCUUCCUGGGUACAAAAAGCACAGGCUCCAGGGAGGAUGGAUGGCAUUAUGUCUUAGACAGUCUCUGUGAAAUAAAACAUAACAUAGGACCACC